GAAGCGGCAACAGCUCAAAUUUGAAAUCUGGCCCUUUCGGGGCCCGAGUUGUAAUUUGUAGAGAGUGUUUCGGGUGAGACCACGGUCUAAGUUCAUUGGAACAUGGCGUCAUAGAGGGUGAGAAUCCCGUAUGUGACUGUGGAUCGAGCCCAUGUGAAGCCUCUUCGACGAGUCGAGUUGUUUGGGAAUGCAGCUCAAAAUGGGUGGUAAAUUUCAUCUAAAGCUAAAUACUGGCUGGAGACCGAUAGCGCACAAGUAGAGUGAUCGAAAGAUGAAAAGCACUUUGGAAAGAGAGUCAAACAGUACGUGAAAUUGUUGAAAGGGAAGCGCUUGCAACUAGACCUGUCCGUAGGUGAUCAGCCGCUGUUCUCAGUGGUGCACUCGCUCUGCGAUCAGGCCAGCAUCGGUUCGGGCGGUCGGAUAAAGGCCUUGGGAAUGUAGCUUCCUUCGGGGAGUCUUAUAGCCCUCGGUGCAAUGCGGCCAGCCGGGACCGAGGACCGCGCUUCGGCUAGGAUGCUGGCGUAAUGGUUGUAAGCGACCCGUCUUGAAACACGGACCAAGGAGUCUAACAUCUAUGCGAGUGUUUGGGUGUUAAACCCAUGCGCGGAAUGAAAGUGAACGGAGGUGAGAACCCUUAAGGGCGCAUCAUCGACCGAUCCAGAUGUCUUCGGAUGGAUUUGAGUAUGAGCAUAGCUGUUGGGACCCGAAAGGUAUGUUUACCCCCCCCUCUAAUUAGUAAUUAGAUCUAAGCUAACAUUUUUCCAAAGAUGGUGAACUAUGCCUGAAUAGGGUGAAGCCAGAGGAAACUCUGGUGGAGGCUCGCAGCGGUUCUGACGUGCAAAUCGAUCGU
rnacentral:rRNA from 1 species